GUGCCGGGGCCGAGCGGCCCGGCGGGAACAAACAGCCGCCGCGGCGGGAGCGCGGCUCCGGGGGCUCGAGGCGGCUCCCGGUUCCCCCCGCAGAUCCCGCAAACCCUCCACUUCCUGGAGCAGCGGUCUUCCGUGCGCUCAGCCCUGGAUGUUAAGGUUUACGCGGACGCCAGCCGGAGCCGGGAGCAGGAGCGACAGCCCCACCCAUCAUCGCCCCAAGGCAGCUCUCCGGCCACCGAGGCCGAAGCGCACUUGGCUCGCCAGCGGAGCCUGAGACGCCCGGACCAACGCCGCCCGAGCGGGGCCGACCCGAGCCCGAGCGGCUUCCGGCCCAAGGGGAGACGCGCUUGAGUGAUCGCGAGGAGCGAACUUGGCGUCCUCUGCCUCGGGCCUCGGAGAGGUUCCUUCUUUUAAAGCCGUUCUGACCAAUCCAACCAGCCAAACCCCUGCCCAAAUCUUCCAGGGGCUCCCCCCCGGCUUACAAGUCAAAACUCAAUCUCCUUCGCAUGGGGAGCUGAUGGGACUGUCCAGGCUCUGUCCCCCCACCUCCCUCACAUUACCUCCAGACGCAGGCAGACCUCCUGGCUGAAUCAAACAUAGCAUUGCAAGUCCAAGGCCCCGUGACAGGCCCAGGCAGGGGGAAGAGACCUCAGCGGAGCCCAUCCCUCCUACCAGAUUUGUCUGAGACUCCAGGAUAGAACCACUCUGGGGCUCUGGGAGCCGGGCUUCUCCUCGAGGAUCAGAAGAUUAGCACAGGGCGUGGCUGCCAGCAGGCGUCCUCCUGCCGAGUGGAGAGAGCGCUGUUUGACCUCGGAGCCCAUCCAAGAAGAACACAUCCUAGAGAGACAAAGUCUAAGGACAAUGCUGAGUCCUCCAGCUCUGCCUGAAACUGGAACCCUUAGACUUCCCAGAUGUUCUAAAGACCCCCUUUUGCUUGGGGUAGGUUGAAUCAACUUGUGCUACUUUGAGUUUAAUUUCACAAACAGCAGAGCCACAGGAGAGAAGGAGCUUGUGUUCCUGAGACCACUGACCGCCUACGCUCAGUUUUCAUGUGAAAAUAAACUUCCAUCUGGGUUAAGUCA